AUUGAAAAGCUUAUUUAAAUUUAAUUUGUAUUUAUUUAAUAAAAAUAAUUUUAGUUUAAUUAAUAGUUUGAAUAAAUAAUUUUAAUUAUAGUUAAUUAGUACUGUAGAGGAAAGUUUAAAGAAAAAUUUUUAAAUAUAAAAAAGAAUGAUUAUUUUUCUGUACCUUGUGUAUCAGGGUUUAAUAAAUAGAAAUUAAUUAUUUAUUUUUCUCGAAUUAAAUAGAGUAAAAAAGUUAUGGUUUUUACUGUAAAAUAAGUAUUAAAAAUAAUUUUUUUGAAAUGAAACGUUAUUCGUUAUUUAAUAUAUCUGGUUUUCUAAGAAAUGAAUUUAAUUCUUUUAUAUAAUUUUAUUAAUUUUAUUUUUAAUUAAUAAUAAAAUAUAUUAAAUAUUUAAUGGGAUAAGCUUUUAAAUAAAUUUUUAAAAAUUUUAAUUUUGUAAAAUAAUUGUAGAAUUAGAAGUAUUUAUCAAUUAAGAGUGUGUUAAAACUUAUUUUUAUAAAAUUUAAUUUUUUAUUUUUUAAUUUUAUAUUAGAAUUUAAAUUAAAUUUUAUUAUUUUAGUAAUAAUGUUAAAAUUAGUAUAAUAAUAAGUUAUUAUUUUUGUUUUGUGAGGUAAUAAUAAGGAAUUUGGCAAAAAUGUUUUUCGCCUGUUUAAUAAAAACAUCGCCUUUUGAUUAUAAUUUAAGGUUUAACCUGCCCAAUGAGUAAUUUAAUGGCCGCGAUAUAUUGAUCGUGCGAAGGUAGCAUAAUCAUUAGUUUUUUAAUUGAAAGCUAGAAUGAAUGGUUGGACGAGAAAACUUCUGUUUCAUUAUUAAUAAAUUUGAAUUUUAUUUUUAAGUUAAAAAGCUUAAAUUUUACUUAAAGACGAGAAGACCCUAUAGAGUUUUAUAUAUAUAUUAUAUUUAUAUUAUAGAAUAUACUUGUACUUAUAGUAAAUAUAUUUGGUUGGGGUGACAGAAAAAUUGAUUAAACUUUUAUUGUUUAAAAAUACCGAUAAGUAAUUUUUUGAUCCUUAAAAGAGAUUAUAAGAAUAAAUUACCUUAGGGAUAACAGCGUAAUUUUUUCUUAGAGUUCAAAUCGAUGAGAAAGAUUGCGACCUCGAUGUUGGAUUAAAGUUAAAUUUUGGUGUAGAAGCUAGAAAUAUUAGUCUGUUCGACUAUUAAAACUUUACAUGAUCUGAGUUUAAACCGGUGUGAGCCAGGUUGGUUUCUAUCUUGAGAAAAAUAAAAUAUGUUAGUACGAAAGGACCAUAUAUUUAAUAAAUUAUUUUUAUUAGAAUAAUAUUA
rnacentral:rRNA from 1 species